rnacentral:rRNA from 1 species
GAUGAACGCUGGCGGCGUGCCUAAUACAUGCAAGUCGAGCGAACAGACGAGGAGCUUGCUCCUCUGACGUUAGCGGCGGACGGGUGAGUAACACGUGGAUAACCUACCUAUAAGACUGGGAUAACUUCGGGAAACCGGAGCUAAUACCGGAUAAUAUAUUGAACCGCAUGGUUCAAUAGUGAAAGACGGUUUUGCUGUCACUUAUAGAUGGAUCCGCGCCGCAUUAGCUAGUUGGUAAGGUAACGGCUUACCAAGGCAACGAUGCGUAGCCGACCUGGGAGGGUGAACGGCCACACUGGGAAUGGGACACGGCCCAGACUCCUACGGGAGGCAGCAGGAGGGAAUUUUCCGCAAUGGGCGAAAGCCUGACCGAGCAACGCCGCGUGAGUGAAGAAGGUUUUCGGAUCGUAAAGCUUUGUUUUAAGGGAAGAACAAAUGGGAUAGUUAAAAGUUCACACUGUGACGGUACCUAACCAGAAAGCGACGGCUAACUACGUG